rnacentral:rRNA from 1 species
UACGUAGGGGGCUAGCGUUGUCCGGAAUCAUUGGGCGUAAAGAGCGUGUAGGCGGUCCGGUAAGUCCGCUGUGAAAGCCCGGGGCUCAACCCCGGAGGUGCAUCCGAAACUCUGGGGCUGGAGGUCGGAAGAGGAGGGUGGAAUACCCAGUGUAGAGGUGAAAUUCGUAGAUAUUGGGUGGAACACCGGUGGCGAAAGCGGCUCUCUGGUCCGGACCUGACGCUGAGGCGCGAAAGCGUGGGGAGCAAACAGG